CCCCUCUCAGGGUCACAGCUGGAGAGUUUCCAGUACUCUAGCAGUCUCGACGGCGGGAGGGAGAGUCGAGCAGAGGCCUGGCCAUUCCAUUCCUAGCUUGGCCAGUGGCUAGUGAGUGGAAAACGACCUGCUACAACU